AUAUAUACUGUGAACCCCCCAUAUUCGUGGACUCACGUAUUCGCUGAUUUCUCUCUGGAACAUAUAUUUGCGGAUUCAGCUAUUCGCCGGGGGUUCUGGUACACAUCCCCCACGAAUAUGGGGAAUACUAUAUAUAUGUAUAUAUAUAUAUAAAACCCUCUCAUUUUCGCAAGGACGCGAAUCACUCUAUUGAGUUUGCAAUUCAGACAAGAGCAGCACAAAACUUCAAAAACCACUUUGCAAAGUUUGCGUUGCAAAUGAGGAGGUGGGGGGGGGGGCGUGCAACGUUCAUGGUCGCCGCCACUUGGAGUACUUCGUUUUAGCUUCACCAAUUGUAUGAUUACCAUCUGGUUUGGUCCGUAGGCAGUAAGUUUUUUUCUAAUUUAUUCUUUUGUACCGUUUUAUUUUAUACACCUAAGUUUAGUAGCUGUACAGUAUAUUUGGUACGUAAACGUAGAAUGGAUUAUACAGCAAUUGCUCUGCAUUCUCAAACAAGUUAUUUGAAUUAUGAUUAUAUAAUGCGACCCUAUGGAGUUUUUAUCUGCCACAUUGUCCCUGAGGUUUUGUCUUCAGGAAAAGGGUCUUAUAAGUGAAGUUAUAGAAUAUCGAUUGUAUUCUAGGUGGGCAAGAGUGGUAUUCUUCAAGGUUGCUGAAUUUGCUCACAGACAGAGUCCAGGUUAUGCUUUUGCACUUAAAGGAAUUCCUCUUUGUGGUCUUCGGUCAAGAUUUACUCAAAAUUUGGAGUUUUCUUUAUUGUUUUGUUUUUCUAGUAAAUUUUAGAUCUGGUGCAAGUUUUUGAGUGGGUCAGGAUCUUACUCAGUUUUUUUUAAUAAUGUUCUUAGUGGGUGAAGAUUUUAAACACAAGUUUUGGAUUUUACCGUUUUUAUUCAAAUUUAACAAUUGGUAUAAAUUAUUGAAUAGGUCACGAUUGUAAACAAAUUUUUGGUUUAUUGUUUUUUCAUCAUUUGAAGCUUAUAAUAGUGUUCUUAGUGGAUUAGGAUUUUACACAAAAUUUGGUCUUGUAUUGUCCCUUUUUUUCCAAACAUUUUGUGGGGGUUUUAUCACUUUUUCAAGGAAAUCUUCAUCUUGGGGCAAUGUCCUUUAGUGGGUCGAGAUUUGACACAAUUUUUCGAUUUUUAUUGUCUUUCUAGGAAGCUUGGAACUUGGUAUAUGAACUUUCUGAGUCAAGUAGUGGACAUUGAAUAUAAAAACAGUGGUUCUGCCAAACUAGAUUGAAAAUUUAGCUUCAUGACAACAUAUCCCUGAAGUGAAAUGUCAAUUAAGUAUAUUCCCUUUUAUAUACCAGUUUAAUCAGUUCAUCUCUCUGACUGGUGGACUGGGAACAUUGUCAGAAAACUGCCUAUUACAAAAUCAAAAGACCCUCUGUAGUACUUUGAUGUUUUAAUAGCUAGGGAUGUUGAGGAUGUUAAAACCACUUUUUGGGGGUGAUGUUGAACUAUUUUUUAGGAAACUGCCAAGUCUUUUUAUUCAACAAAUUCCGUAGUUCUACAGCUCUGGCCAGCUACAGAGUUCAGGCUAGAUUUUCAUCAGUAUUUUUAAACUUAUUCACUGUGUCUUAACUAGAAUUUUUAUUAACCUUCCAAAGUAGAUAAAAAAGAAGAAAGAAAGAGCAUGUAAUUUGUCUUAGAGAAAGCAAUGCAGAUUAGAACAAUACGUUUGUAUUUAGUGUGUGUGUGUGUAUGUUUGUGUGUGUGUGUGUUUGUUUGAGCAAUCACUUUAUGAUAUCAGCAGGUGUUUGUGACCAGAAACGUUUGAGAGUGAAACGCAUUUUUUAUUUUCAGUGACAUCGUAAUUUUACGCCUAUAGUACAUUCGUCAGCAAAAUCACAUUUCGUCAUUUAUAGUACAUGAUUUUCUCAGAUUCUUUCUCUUUCAUCACGCAUUGCACGGGCAUCAGUGUAGCAUUGCAUCAUUGCAUAUUUGGGGUGUUGUUGGAGUGUACGUGGAUGGUGUAGUACACUUUCAGAUGUACAUUGUUGGUCUUUUGUUUUUAUUUUGUUUUUAUUUUUUUGUGAUAUGUUGUACUGAUGGUUAAUUACCCAUCGAUUUGUAUUUUUUGGCUGGAGUUAAAAAAUCAGGGUUCAUCUGAUGUCUAGGCCAGUCCCUUACGACGCUCCUGAUAAGCCAAUCACAGGGCUAGAAACUCUCAGUGACUAUAAUAGAUUCCCAUUAACCGUGCAUGUGAUGACUAGGCCAGUCCCCUGCGACGCUCCUAAUUGGCUGUUGAUAAGCCAAUCACAGGGCUGGAAACUCUCAGUCUCUCGAGAGAGUUCACAUAGGCAGGAUGUAUGUAUGUUCCACCUCUCCUGAGGGAUACUUUUGAAAGACUUAUACCUCAGGAGAAGCGGAACGUAUACAUCCUGCCUAUAUGAACACUCUCGAGACACUGAGGGUUUACAGCCCUGUGAUUGGCUUAUCUACAGCCAAUCAGGAACUUCGUGAGGGACUGGCCUAACAUCAGAUGCACGGUUAAUGAGAAUCUACUAUAGUCACAUUGCUUAGAUGGAUAGAUUCAGUGUAAGGUGACUGUUUUAUAAUUAUUUUUAGAUGAUAUGUAUCUUGUAUUUUAGUGGAAAUAUGAAAAGUCUUUUCAAGAUUGGAAAGUGAUGUUCAGUUUGAGAUGCUUAAAGAACUUAAUCCAGAUGGCUUCAGCUCAAUAAAAUAAACACAUUUUACACAUUUAUUUUCAAGUAUUUUUCCCCCCAUAGAAGCUUUGACAAGACAAUAACGUAUUUGUUAGGACCUGUAGUUAUUGUAACUAUAUAUCGUAUCAGUUGGUUUUGUAAAGAGCUUGAGAACUUGCAGUGGGCUUGGGAAAUGUGAAUAUAUUAUUUUGUAUAAGUAAUGGUGGUGUGUCAUGUGUAGUACAGAUGUUCUCUUAUUUUAUUUGAUCUUCUAUUGUCAUUCGAACCCUGAUGCCUUCGGUUUCUUUUCUAAUGCAGUGAUGAUGUGGUGAGUCUUUUGUGUACUUGAGAUUAAAAAAAAAUAGAUAUUUUGAUAAAA